GAAGCCACCAAACACUUCCGUGUUUUCCCUAUUUAAAGACUGUUACAUGAGGAGUUAUACCAGUAAGUAUGGUGCCACAAAAUAAAACUUUUUUUUGGUACCAUAGGAAUGAAUGGGGCUAGGCUAAAUGCUAACACAUUCACAACACGCUGUACAGUGCACGCAUUGAAAAAAGAUAGGUAUGUAUUAAUUCGUCUAGGUUGAGGUAAUAACAUAGUUUAAUAUGGCAAAAGGGUAGACUAUUCCUUUAAGAAAAAUGGUUCUUUGAAGGUUCUGAAAUGAUGGUAAAGGUUCUAUAUGGAACCAUAGCUUAAUGAAGAACCCUUUUUUUGCUGAAAUGGUUCUUUGUCUUCGCAAAAGGGUUUCUUCAGUUCCCACCUUCUUUGAUUUUAAAUUUAGUCAGUUAUUUUCAAGCUGCCUCCUGAUUAUUUUCACCUGUAAAGCCCUGAAUCAUCAGUCCUGCUGAACUGCCUGCAGACUAACAACACAAACAGGUAAGAGAGUAAAAUAAUCAUCAUUUACUUUCAAAAACAUUUUGAAAAUUGAAUUUUGUGUGUUCUUAUUGUAAUUUAUUUAUUUUAUAACAGGUAAACUUUAUACUGUAAGCUUCAUUCCCUUUAUAACAGAGUUUUUGUAUGUGAGGUAAUCUUGCUGGGAGUUAAGGCAGUGCGUAUGACCGCUUGAUAUUGGAGACACAUCCUGUUUUUCAAGGUGGAUCAUAGCUCUAGUAAGUUGGAUAGCUGCAGGUCGGUCAUUGGCUUGAUAACAGUGGUUUAUGAAUAAAUCUUUCAACAACCAUUCAGAACCAAAUCUUGUUCGGCCUGAUGCUCAACCUUGUACAGUUCACCAAAUGAUGACCACUGCAAAGUGAUGGGAAUCUGUGGUAAUCACAGUCUGUGUCUCAACAUGACAAUAACAGACCAGCUCUUAUCUCACUCUUAUCUGACUAAAUGUUCAGCAUCAAUGCCACAAAAGAAACAUUGGAAGAAGCAUGUACUGUACAAUGAUCCAGCAAACAAAUAUGGACUUUUUUGUAAGCUUCUACAAACAUUGACACAAUCCUAUUGACUUUUAUUUUUACAGUUAUUAAUGUAUUAUUAACAUCCCAUUAAUUUGUAUUCUAUGCCAUCUAUCUGUUUUUGCUAAAGUGUUUACAUCUGAAUGUAAUGUCAUAGUAUGUUAAUAUUCAAUAUUUAUCAUUUGCCUGUUUUGAUGUGGCAUGUCAUGAUUUUAAUGUUUUUAUGUAAUUGUUGUCUAUUUAGAGUUAUUGUCUUGGCCAAUUUUUAUUGUUAAUUUAUUUAAUAUUCAUUUAAUAUUCAAGCAGUUAUUUAACAUCCAUAUCUCAUUUGAGUAGUGAUUUGUUAUAUUUGCAUAAUAAUACAUAUUUAUUUUGAUUGUGAUUUUUAUACAUUUAUUUAUUAUUGUACGACACCUCAUGUAAAGAAAAAGUGAAAAUAAAAGUAUUUUUCUGAUGUCUUGAAGUUCUGUUUUUAAACUGUUAAACCUUAUAAAGUGCUAUAAAUAAAAAACAAAACAAAAAUAUAAACAAAAAUAAUCCUCCUGACUGCUGAUAAAUGAAAGGGU